AUACAUACAUAUCUAUAUAUAUAUAUAUAUAUAUAUAUAUAUAUUCAAAUGUUUGUUUAUGAACCUCACAAAAGCACAGAAAGGUUGAUUUUGAUCUGUUCGUUCUUUGUGAUGUUCAGACGAGGACAAACGUGAGAUCUUCAUGUUUGAAAUCAUUUCCUGUUUCACACUAAAGACCAGGAUUUAUUUUAAAAAGAGACUCUUAAUAACAAAAAACAAAGUUCCUCUUUUAUCAGCAGACAAAGUUGUCAAAAAAGAGAAAUAUUUACUGCUGUAAGUCACUAUUUCAAUUCAAUAUUUCUGUUUUUUCAAAGUGUGUUAAACAUUCAUCAGCAGGUAUAAGUCAGAUUUGACAGUCUGCCCUAAUAGAGUCCAGAAAUAACAAUAAUGUUUAUCUUAGUGGAUUAAUCAGAAAGGGAACGGAUCUCUAAUCUUAUUUCUGCCAUAUUUGGAGGACUCAGAUCUGUCCCUCUUCAUGAUCCAGUCUUUGGUGGAUCACCUUCUCACCACAGUUUGACUCAGUCUACAUGGACUGACAUACAGAGUGUGUUUACAUUCAUUUCUUUGUGUGUGUGUGUGUGUGUGUGCGUGCGUGCGUGCGUGCGUUUGUGUGUGUGUGUGUGUCUGCUGUUGUACAUCAGAACCACAGACUGUAUUUACUCUGGACAUUUUGGUUCCGCCUUCCACCAGUAUAUGGGUUUUGAAGCUGAAAAGUUCUCUGUAAUUCCUGAAACCAACAUUGCGUAGUAGUGUACGCAUUCAGCCGGAGAGUCGCCGAGAUUCGCUGUGAUGACGCUCAGCUCAAACAGCAUAUCCCCUGGGUGAGCUACUCAAUCUCCGUACGCCCAUAGGCUGUAUCAAGUGUCAAUCAUAGAAAACAUGAACCCCCAAAUAACUUUUAAAAAUGGAGCUGUACAGCAAAAAGAGGACUUGAGCACAAACCAGUCUGACCGUAACUACAUGUCGACACCGCAAGCAGGGGGGAGAAACAUUUAUAUUCUGUGUCAUUAAUUUAUAAAGUUUGUCCUCAGCUCGAUAAGGAGGCAGGAUUUAUGACCUAUACUGCAGCCCAUCACCAGAGGGUGCUGUUCUAGCAGCGAGGAGGCAGACGGUGUCCAUUCUAUAUACAGUCUAUGGUCAGUCAUUUUGAGGUUAGACCUGUUGUUGUGGUUUAAUAGAAAUGUAUUUAUGGAGAUUCUGUUUGUCAGUUUGAACACUGUAAAGUAAUGAAGACACUGGAUUUUAAAGAAGCAGCUUUCAGAGCGGAGAGGAGUCGACCCGACAACGACAUCAAGACAUCUGCAAAAAUUAAAACAUUUACCAAUAUCAGAAAAAAAAA